rnacentral:misc_RNA from 1 species
UGACCGAUAUGGGUGAACCUGCGAGAAGGAUCAUCUAUGAAAUAAACCUAGAUAGGGUUGCUGCUGGUUCCUUAGGGGACAUGUGCACACUUGUCAUCUUUAUAUUUCCACCUGUGCACCUUCUGUAGGCCUGGAUAGUUUUUCUGAAUGCGCUAGCACUCAGGUUUUGAGGAUUGAUUUCUAUGUCUCUCCUUACAUUUCCAGGCCUAUGUCUCUUCAUAUACCCAAUGUAUGUUACAGAAUGUAGUAGAUGGGCCUUUGUGCCUCUAAACAUAUUACAACUUUCAGCAACGGAUCUCUUGGCUCUCGCAUCGAUGAAGAACGCAGCGAAAUGCGAUAAGUAAUGUGAAUUGCAGAAUUCAGUGAAUCAUCGAAUCUUUGAACGCACCUUGCGCUCCUUGGUAUUCCGAGGAGCAUGCCUGUUUGAGUGUCAUUAAUAUAUCAAUCUCCUCAGCUUUUGCCUGUCGAGUAUUGGAUGUGGG